CCUACGAGAGGCAGCAGUGAGGAAUAUUGGUCAAUGGGCGCGAGCCUGAACCAGCCAAGUCGCGUGAGGGAUGACGGUCCUACGGAUUGUAAACCUCUUUUGCCGGGGAGCAAGCGUGCGUUCGUGAACGCGCGUCGAGAGUACCCGGAGAAAAAGCAUCGGCUAACUCCGUGCCAGCAGCCGCGGUAAUACGGGGGAUGCGAGUGGUAUCCGGAUUUAUUGGGUUUAAGGGGUGCGUAGGCGGUAUGCCAAGUCAGCGGGAAAGAUGCGGUGCUCACCGGCGUCGAGCCGUUGAAGCUGGCGUUCUUGAGUGGGCGAGAAGUAUGCGGAAGGCGUGGUGUAGCGGUGAAAUGCAUAGAUAUCACGCAGAACUCCGAUUGCGAAGGCAGCAUACCGGCGCCCUACUGACGCUGAGGCACGAAAGCGUGGGUAUCGAACAGGAUUAGAUACCCGUGUAGUC
rnacentral:rRNA from 1 species